UGGGGAAUUUUCCGCAAUGGGCGAAAGCCUGACGGAGCAAUACCGCGUGAGGGAUGACGGCCUAUGGGUUGUAAACCCCUUUUUUCAGGGAGGAAUCAAUGACGUGUACCUGAAGAAUAAGCAUCGGCUAACU
rnacentral:rRNA from 1 species